UACGAAGGGGGCUAGCGUUGUUCGGAAUCACUGGGCGUAAAGGGCGCGUAGGCGGCUUUAUAAGUCGGGGGUGAAAGCCUGUGGCUCAACCACAGAAUUGCCUUCGAUACUGUAGAGCUUGAGACCGGAAGAGGUAAGUGGAACUGCGAGUGUAGAGGUGAAAUUCGUAGAUAUUCGCAAGAACACCAGUGGCGAAGGCGGCUUACUGGUCCGGUUCUGACACUGAGGCGCGAAAGCUAGGGGAGCAAACGGG
rnacentral:rRNA from 1 species